GGUUUCCAUAACGGCAAGUGGUGAACAUAGUGCAAGGAUAAUCUGAACGAUAUAAAGGUCUGUAUCUUAGCUGAACACAGAUAUUCACCAACAUAUUAUGGAACUGGUAGUAAAUCAACUGAUUUCAAGACUGACAAGUAUACAUCAAUGAUUUGGGAGCAAUUCAGAAGAGGUAUUCUCCUGUACCUUUCUGGUCCCCUUCAAACAGCAUUACUGACUGUGCAGUGAAUUAAUGAACAAAAGGAUAAACUUGAUGAUAUCAUGUUAACAUGCAGAGUUGUUAGCAUGCUCAGCUCAG
rnacentral:lncRNA from 1 species